rnacentral:lncRNA from 1 species
CCUCUUAAAAUAUGACUUUAGUUUCAUGGGUUUAUAUCUGAAUCCUCUAUCCUAUUCUAUUGAGCUGCUGCCUGUUUCUGUGCUAGUACCAUGCUGUUUGGAUCACUAUGGCUCUGUGAUAACAUAACUACAGUUUCUUUCAGAUUUUUUUCCUGAAGAGAAAUGCUAAAUCUCUACUUGGAUUGACUUCAUCAACCACUUCAAUGUUGUGCCUGGCAUCAUAGCACCAGGAGGAGGUGGUCCCUGACAAGGAAAGACAGAUAUUCCCUCUCGACAAGCUACUGACAUGCUGGUACAACCUAGUGAUGAUGCAUGUAGUCGAUAUUGCUGGAUAUCAUAGGUACAGCUUCUGUAACAUAUCUGGAUGAUACAACCAUGGAGCAGAUGUUCUCCGGCUUUUACAUCUUUCUACUCCCUCUCCUGUGCUUUUCCAUGAGCCUUGUGAAGAGGGAUGGUGAUGGAGAAGCACCAGUUGGAAUUGAGCAUCCUAUGAUUACUUACUAUCUGUGUCUUGAUCAUUUGAGAUCUCUGUAAUAAUCUCCAUUAACAGCAGAAAGACUUUUCUUUGAGGAAAGCUUUCACAACACUUCCCAAUACCAUGAAAGGUAGGCCUCAGGGAGGAGCUUCCAGAUCAGUCAGAGCUCAACUUCUCGAAGUCUCAUGUCUGAAAUAUUUGGUAUCAUAAGCAAUUGGGUCAUGCCUUCAUGUAAAAUAAGAGGAAUACGUUCUAAAAUCGUCCAGCAUGGUAUGUUGAGAGAGUGUGCAAACCAUAAAGCCUUGUGGGGAAUGUAGGCAAAGUCGAUGGCACUGGGUUGAGGAGAUGGUGCUAAAUUCCAGAAGAAUACUAGGAACUUAGUGUUGAACACAAGAUGUCAGAAGAAAGAAAGACACUCACAGAGUGUCUUCAUACUGCCAUACUUAGGCUUCCCCAAUAAGGGUGUGCGUGCACAGAGAAUACAUGAAAAACGAAUGAGAUCGCCCUGAAUUUGUUGACAAGCACAUACUCAUAACUGCAGUUUCAACAAAAUACAACCAUAAGAAAUACUGCUACUGCACUGAUAGUUUCCAAUAAGAAGAAUAUUGUCAAAAGCAAAGUGGAUCAUUUUGUUCCGAAGAAGAGACAUAAGAGCUGGUAUACUUUUAAAAAAAAUCAGUAACAAUGCAUUAAGAGGUUGAACAUUUUGCAGUACCUAAAGCCAAAGAGGAAAAUCAUUCAGCUGAUUAUUCUAUAUUAAAAAAUCUUAAACAUG